GAUGAACGCUGGCGGCGUGCUUAACACAUGCAAGUCGAACGGUGAAGGCGGAGCUUGCUCUGCUGGAUCAGUGGCGAACGGGUGAGUAACACGUGAGCAAUCUGCCCCUGACUCUGGGAUAAGCGCUGGAAACGGCGUCUAAUACUGGAUACGAGCUGCGAAGGCAUCUUCAGCAGCUGGAAAGAAUUUCGGUCAGGGAUGAGCUCGCGGCCUAUCAGCUUGUUGGUGAGGUAAUGGCUCACCAAGGCGUCGACGGGUAGCCGGCCUGGGAGGGUGACCGGCCACACUGGGACUGAGACACGGCCCAGACUCCUACGGGAGGCAGCAGUGGGGAAUAUUGCACAAUGGGCGAAAGCCUGAUGCAGCAACGCCGCGUGAGGGACGACGGCCUUCGGGUUGUAAACCUCUUUUAGCAGGGAAGAAGCGAAAGUGACGGUACCUGCAGAAAAAGCGCCGGCUAACUACAUG
rnacentral:rRNA from 1 species